rnacentral:rRNA from 1 species
UACGAAGGGUGCAAGCGUUAAUCGGAAUUACUGGGCGUAAAGGGUGCGUAGGCGGUUAUUUAAGUCUGCCGUGAAAUCCCCGGGCUCAACCUGGGAAUGGCGGUGGAUACUGGAUAGCUAGAGUUUGUCAGAGGAUGGUGGAAUUCCCGGUGUAGCGGUGAAAUGCGUAGAGAUCGGGAGGAACAUCAGUGGCGAAGGCGGCCAUCUGGGACAACACUGACGCUGAAGCACGAAAGCGUGGGGAGCAAACAGG